GAUGAACGCUGGCGGCGUGCCUAAUACAUGCAAGUCGAGCGAACAGACGAGGAGCUUGCUCCUCUGACGUUAGCGGCGGACGGGUGAGUAACACGUGGAUAACCUACCUAUAAGACUGGGAUAACUUCGGGAAACCGGAGCUAAUACCGGAUAAUAUAUUGAACCGCAUGGUUCAAUAGUGAAGGACGGUUUUGCUGUCACUUAUAGAUGGAUCCGCGCCGCAUUAGCUAGUUGGUAAGGUAACGGCUUACCAAGGCAACGAUGCGUAGCCGACCUGAGAGGGUGAUCGGCCACACUGGAACUGAGACACGGUCCAGACUCCUACGGGAGGCAGCAGUAGGGAAUCUUCCGCAAUGGGCGAAAGCCUGACGGAGCAACGCCGCGUGAGUGAUGAAGGUCUUCGGAUCGUAAAACUCUGUUAUUAGGGAAGAACAAAUGUGUAAGUAACUAUGCACGUCCUGACGGUACCUAAUCAGAAAGCCACGGCUAACUACGUG
rnacentral:rRNA from 1 species